rnacentral:rRNA from 1 species
AUGUGGUUAAGUUACUAAGGGCACACGGUGGAUGCCUUGGCGCUAGGAGCCGAAGAAGGACGCAGCGAACUGCGAUAAGCCUCGGGGAGCGGUAAGCACGCUUUGAUCCGGGGAUCUCCGAAUGGGGUAACCCACCAUCUGUAAUGGGAUGGUAUCCUUCACUGAAUACAUAGGUGAUGAGAAGGCAGACCCGGUGAACUGAAACAUCUAAGUAGCCGGAGGAAGAGAAAACAAUAGUGAUUCCGUCAGUAGUGGCGAGCGAACGCGGAAGAGCCUAAACCGUCGGGUUUACCCGGCGGGGUUGUGGGGCGUCUCACACGGAGUUACAAAAGACUCUUGUAGAUGAACAGUUUGGGAAGACUGACCAAAGAGCGUGACAGUCGCGUAAUCCAAACAAGAGUCUCUCCGAGACCAACCCCGAGUAGCGCGGGACACGUGAAAUCCCGUGUGAAUCUGGCAGGACCAUCUGCUAAGGCUAAAUACUACCUAGCGACCGAUAGUGAACCAGUACCGUGAGGGAAAGGUGAAAAGCACCCCGGGAGGGGAGUGAAAUAGUACCUGAAACCGUGUGCUUACAAAUAGUCGGAGCCC